CCGGAGAAUUGCAUCAGAAACUGUUGAACUUGAGUGCAGAAGAGGAGAGUGGAACUCCAUGUGUAGCGGUGGAAUGCGUAGAUAUAUGGAAGAACACCAGUGGCGAAGGCGGCUCUCUGGUCUGCAACUGACGCUGAGGCUCGAAAGCAUGGGUAGCGAACAGG
rnacentral:rRNA from 1 species